rnacentral:rRNA from 1 species
UAGACCCUACGGGGGGCAGCAGUGGGGAAUAUUGCACAAUGGGGGGAACCCUGAUGCAGCAAUGCCGCGUGGGUGAAGAAGCACUCCGGUGCGUAAAGCCCUGUCAGCAGGGAAGAAAAUGACAGUACCUGACCAAGAAGCCCCGGCUAACUACGUGCCAGCAGCCGCGGUAAUACGUAGGGGGCAAGCGUUAUCCGGAUUUACUGGGUGUAAAGGGAGCGCAGGCGGCGUGGCAAGUCAGAUGUGAAAAGCCGGGGCCCAAC